rnacentral:lncRNA from 1 species
AUUAAUUAGAAUGUCUAAAGAAAUCAUAAAAGCGAUAAAAGAUCGUUUUGGGCUUAAAGAAAAGUUCGGGUUUGAUUGGGCCCAUUGGGCCUAAACCCAUUGGGCUUUUAUUCAAGCAUAGGAUGACUUGAAAUAAUAAAAGCCCAAAGCCCAAACAACACUAAAGGGGCCGGCCAAAGGAGGGAGAGAGAGAGUCAAAUGUUGACUUGUUUCUUUUUGGUUAUAAAAGGAACUUUAUAGCACAAAGUUUCAAAAGGGUUUUUUUUUGAAGUGUUUAAACAACAAAAGAGAAAAAGAAAAUAUCUCUCUCAACACUCAAAGGGCCGGCCACCAAAAGGGGGUUUAGCUAAUCAUCUUCUCACCCUUUUGGUUAUUCCUUCAUCCUUCCCACUACACUAGUGGGUGAGGAUCUUUAGAGGUCUUCAACUUUGGAGACUUAAGGAGAACCAAGGAGCACUCAUUCUAACAAAGUGGAGGAGGCAAGGAGGGAGGCUAGGCUCAAGGAGUUCCAACAACAAAGGGCUUGGAGGUGGUCCAUCCUUGGUCUAAAGUCUAGAUCAAGAGGUAUAAAACUACUCCUACACUUUGUUCUUCAAUAAAUUGUUUUGAUGCAUCUUACAUAAACCUAUGCAUCUUCAAGGGGAUUUGCAUGACUAUAGCUUUGAUAUUAUUUGAUAACAUGCUUCCGUUGCUUUUGUAUAUAAAUUUUGAAUUAUAUAUGCAUGCUAGUCACUAGAAAUCCCUCAUGAAAUCUCACAAUUUCCCUUCAAGUGGUAUCAGAGCCAAAGGUUUAUGUUUGAUGUGUCCUUUUGGAUUUUAUGCAUAUGGGUUUUAAUUUUAUGUAUGACAUGUUAUUGCUUCAUUCAAAGUAUGUUUAUCUUUUGUUUUUCAAAUGUUGAAAAAUAUGAAUCAAUAGUUGAAAAGAUAUGUAUGCAAAAGUGUUUUGGAUGCAUGAAUGAAAAUUUGGGGUUUUGUUCCAAAAGAGGGCACGGCAAAGGGGUUUUUUUUUUUUUUUUGGCUAAGUGUUUGUGUUUUAUUUUGAAUCACACACACACACUUUGAAGCUAGAAAGAAUAGAUCUGGUCACUUUUGUUUUUGGGUUUGAAAAAUCACCAAGAAAGUACAAAUCUUGAAAUUGUUUUCAUGGUUUUGUUCUUGGUGUUCAUGGUUUGGUUUUUGGUGAAAAUGGUUUUAUUUGUUUUUUCAUACAUUGUUUUAUGGUUUUGGAUGGUAAACUUACCAUCCAUAGCUUUCCCAAAAUUUAAUUCAAUCC